rnacentral:rRNA from 1 species
GGCGGUUGCGCGCUACCUGCAAGUCGAGCGGAUGACGGGAGCUUGCUCCUUGAUUCAGCGGCGGACGGGUGAGUAAUGCCUAGGAAUCUGCCUGGUAGUGGGGGACAACGUUUCGAAAGGAACGCUAAUACCGCAUACGUCCUACGGGAGAAAGCAGGGGACCUUCGGGCCUUGCGCUAUCAGAUGAGCCUAGGUCGGAUUAGCUAGUUGGUGGGGUAAUGGCUCACCAAGGCGACGAUCCGUAACUGGUCUGAGAGGAUGAUCAGUCACACUGGAACUGAGACACGGUCCAGACUCCUACGGGAGGCAGCAGUGGGGAAUAUUGGACAAUGGGCGAAAGCCUGAUCCAGCCAUGCCGCGUGUGUGAAGAAGGUCUUCGGAUUGUAAAGCACUUUAAGUUGGGAGGAAGGGCAGUAAGCUAAUACCUUGCUGUUUUGACGUUACCGACAGAAUAAGCACCGGCUAACUCUGUGCCAGCAGCCGCGGUAAUACAGAGGGUGCAAGCGUUAAUCGGAAUUACUGGGCGUAAAGCGCGCGUAGGUGGUUUGUUAAGUUGGAUGUGAAAGCCCCGGGCUCAACCUGGGAACUGCAUCCAAAACUGGCAAGCUAGAGUACGGUAGAGGGUGGUGGAAUUUCCUGUGUAGCGGUGAAAUGCGUAGAUAUAGGAAGGAACACCAGUGGCGAAGGCGACCACCUGGACUGAUACUGACACUGAGGUGCGAAAGCGUGGGGAGCAAACAGGAUUAGAUACCCUGGUAGUCCACGCCGUAAACGAUGUCAACUAGCCGUUGGAAUCCUUGAGAUUUUAGUGGCGCAGCUAACGCAUUAAGUUGACCGCCUGGGGAGUACGGCCGCAAGGUUAAAACUCAAAUGAAUUGA